UUAACCCCCAAGCCUGCUCUCCCACAUUUGCUUCCUGUCCCAGGGAUUGGCACCCUUGCCAGGACCCCGGGCAUCUUCUGGACUUUUCUUUCCUCACUCACACAUUCAGACAAUGGCUGAAUCCUGUCAAAUGUACUAAGGUAGCCUCUCUUUUUCAUUUGCCUCUCUCUAUCCCAGUAGCUGUGUCCCAAAUUCCGACUCUCAGUUUUCUUGCCUCUCAUCUGGAAUUCUUCCAGUCAUUCUUCCACAAGGCCUCCGGCAUGAUAUCUAACCUUGUCAUUGCUUUUUAAAAAAACUCUUCAAUAACUCCCAUCGUCGAUAGGAGGAAAGUCCAACAUCCUUAUAUACAAAAGAGGGCUGUCUGCGGCCUGGCCUCUGCCCGCCUCACCCACCUUCCUGCUCAGGUAUGCCACCUCCUUCUCCUGCCCUCAUUCCACUUUUUGAACCUUGAAUUCUAUCCAUUCAAACUUGCCCUCCUUCCUGUAACCCACCAUGCUAGCACAUGCCUCUGGACUUGGUGCGCCUCUUUCCCCACCCAGGUUACGUCCCACUUACUUGAUAUCUUUUGAGAUUCAGCUCACCAGUUCCUGAGCCCCUUUCCUCCCCUCCUCCAGCAGUCCUGAUCCCUCCUUCUACCAUGACCCCACUCUACCUAGUGCCUCUUUCUAUCAGAGCAUGUACUAUACUUGGUCGCAGUAACAUGUCUUCAAAUCUCUAUUCUUUAAAAUGCUUCCAAGCUCGGUGAAGACAGGAAUGACGCAUCGCUCCGCCUUGCACGCAGCACAGUGCCUGUCCUGAAAUGGCAACUCAGAGGAGGCCACCACACCAAAGGACGACCUCUCUGUCUUGGCAAAUGAUCCUAUGGUCCACC
rnacentral:lncRNA from 1 species